rnacentral:rRNA from 1 species
UACGAAGGGUGCAAGCGUUAAUCGGAAUUACUGGGCGUAAAGGGUGCGUAGGCGGUUGCCUAAGUCCGUUGUGAAAGCCCUGGGCUCAACCUGGGAAUGGCAGUGGAUACUGGGUGGCUGGAGUACGGUAGAGGAUGGCGGAAUUCCCGGUGUAGCAGUGAAAUGCGUAGAGAUCGGGAGGAACAUCAGUGGCGAAGGCGGCCAUCUGGACCAGUACUGACGCUGAGGCACGAAAGCGUGGGGAGCAAACAGG